GAUGAACGCUGGCGGCGUGCUUAACACAUGCAAGUCGAACGAAGCACUUUAUUUGAUUUCCUUCGGGACUGAUUAUUUUGUGACUGAGUGGCGGACGGGUGAGUAACGCGUGGGUAACCUGCCUUGUACAGGGGGAUAACAGUUGGAAACGGCUGCUAAUACCGCAUAAGCGCACGGCAUCGCAUGAUGCAGUGUGAAAAACUCCGGUGGUAUAAGAUGGACCCGCGUUGGAUUAGCUAGUGGGUGAGGUAACGGCCCACCAAGGCGACGAUCCAUAGCCGACCUGAGAGGGUGACCGGCCACAUUGGGACUGAGACACGGCCCAAACUCCUACGGGAGGCAGCAGUGGGGAAUAUUGCACAAUGGGCGAAAGCCUGAUGCAGCGACGCCGCGUGAGCGAAGAAGUAUUUCGGUAUGUAAAGCUCUAUCAGCAGGGAAGAUAAUGACGGUACCUGACUAAGAAGCACCGGCUAAAUACGUG
rnacentral:rRNA from 1 species